CUUCCGGGGAACUCCGGCGAGUAAGACCAGGAGACUGCGUGAAAGCUGCUUCCCCAAGGACCGCAUGGGUUAUCUCACUUCUCUCACGUCUUACGUGGGCUAACUCACAGCAGAUCUUUUUCCAUUCAGGCUGGUAGUCCUUACACUGCCUGCGUUCAGCACAGUGUCUCACGUAGUAGAAGCUGUGUUGGACAGGGCAACCUGGAACCAUGGUGUUUAUUUGUUUGCGCAUUGUCAGAGGACUCAUCUAGUAAUCAAUGCUAACAGCUUGCCUGACAGAGCAUAGGCACUUAAAGGUGCCUGUUGGAUUUAAUCGGGAAAUGCAAAAUAGAAACACCAGUCUCUAACUCAAGAGCCAGGUGUGAGGACUGAAGAAACUUUGAGCGAAUGUGUUAGGCCUGAUUGGAAUCCCAGGGAGACCUCUUUGUAAGUCACUGUUUAGGUAUCUACAAUGGAAAUGAAAGUCUCACGAUGGACCUUUGAAAGAUCCAGCAAGGCCUGGUAGUGCAGGACUGUAGUUCCAGCUCCUGAGUGAAUCAGAAGGAUCAGAAGUUCAAUGCCUAUCAGGGCUUCAUGUGCAUUCAAGCUGUUUGGUUUACAGGGUGAGUGUAAGGUCUACAAGGAAAAAGAACAAGUGGGAUAGAAGGAAAUACAAACUGAAGAGUUUAAAGUAAAAAGGGACAUCAGGAAAUUUAAUUAUGGACCCAAGGCUUGUGUUGUAAAAAAGAAAUUAAGGAGAGGUUUGAUCUAAAAUGGAAUAAAUGGAGGGGUACCUUCAAGGCCCAAGAAACACUCCCACUCUGGUUCCUGAGUAGCUGGGACCACACGUCCACAUUUCCAUCCUCUGCAACCUUGGCUUUAGCUUUAACUGGACGGCAUAGAAUUUUGUAGUACAUAUGGUAGAAUCUUUCUCUUAUUCCUUCUACAUCAGAAGAACAAUUUGGGCCGGUGAGAUGAUUAUCGAUAACGGUUAUUUUCACCAAACCUCACAACUGGUGUUCAAUCCCUGGGAUUCACAUGGUAGAAGAAGAAAAGCAAUUCCUGCAGGUCUUCCUAUGACCUCCAUAUGUGCACCAUGGCAUAUGUAGGUCACAUGUGUCUCUGCCUAUAUGUAGGUGAAAUGUAAUAAAAAAAGAAUAUUUGAGAAAA
rnacentral:lncRNA from 1 species